UAGUUGCAAGGUAUAGACCCGAAACCCGGUGAUCUAGCCAUGGGCAGGUUGAAGGUUGGGUAACACUAACUGGAGGACCGAACCGACUAAUGUUGAAAAAUUAGCGGAUGACUUGUGGCUGGGGGUGAAAGGCCAAUCAAACCGGGAGAUAGCUGGUUCUCCCCGAAAGCUAUUUAGGUAGCGCCUCGUGAACUCAUCUUCGGGGGUAGAGCACUGUUUCGGCUAGGGGGCCAUCCCGGCUUACCAAACCGAUGCAAACUCCGAAUACCGAAGAAUGUUAUCACGGGAGACACACGGCGGGUGCUAACGUCCGUCGUGAAGAGGGAAACAACCCAGACCGCCAGCUAAGGUCCCAAAGUCAUGGUUAAGUGGGAAACGAUGUGGGAAGGCAUAGACAGCCAGGAUGUUGGCUUAGAAGCAGCCAUCAUUUAAAGAAAGCGUAAUAGCUCACUGGUCGAGUCGGCCUGCGCGGAAGAUGUAACGGGGCUAAACCAUGCACCGAAGCUGCGGCAGCGACGCUUAGGCGUUGUUGGGUAGGGGAGCGUUCUGUAAGCCGUUGAAGGUGGCCUGUGAGGGUUGCUGGAGGUAUCAGAAGUGCGAAUGCUGACAUAAGUAACGAUAAAGCGGGUGAAAAGCCCGCUCGCCGGAAGACCAAGGGUUCCUGUCCAACGUUAAUCGGGGCAGGGUGAGUCGACCCCUAAGGCGAGGCCGAAAGGCGUAGUCGAUGGGAAACAGGUUAAUAUUCCUGUACUCGGUGUUACUGCGAAGGGGGGACGGAGAAGGCUAGGCUAGCCGGGCGACGGUUGUCCCGGUUUAAGCGUGUAGGGGGAGUGACCCGGUAAAUCCGGUUGCUUAUUCAACCCUGAGGCGUGAUGACGAUGCACNACGGUGCAGAAGUAGUUGAUGCCAAGCUUCCAGGAAAAGCCUCUAAGCAUCAGGUAACACAGAAUCGUACCCCAAACCGACACAGGUGGUCAGGUAGAGAAUACCAAGGCGCUUGAGAGAACUCGGGUGAAGGAACUAGGCAAAAUGGUGCCGUAACUUCGGGAGAAGGCACGCUGGCGCGUAGGUGAAGUCCCUUGCGGAUGGAGCUGAAGCCAGUCGCAGAUACCAGCUGGCUGCAACUGUUUAAUAAAAACACAGCACUGUGCAAACACGAAAGUGGACGUAUACGGUGUGACGCCUGCCCGGUGCUGGAAGGUUAAUUGAUGGGGUCAGCCGCAAGGCGAAGCUCUUGAUCGAAGCCCCAGUAAACGGCGGCCGUAACUAUAACGGUCCUAAGGUAGCGAAAUUCCUUGUCGGGUAAGUUCCGACCUGCACGAAUGGCGUAAUGAUGGCCAGGCUGUCUCCACCCGAGACUCAGUGAAAUUGAACUCGCUGUGAAGAUGCAGUGUACCCGCGGCAAGACGGAAAGACCCCGUGAACCUUUACUAUAGCUUGACACUGAACAUUGAGCCUUGAUGUGUAGGAUAGGUGGGAGGCUUUGAAGCGUGGACGCCAGUCUGCGUGGAGCCAACCUUGAAAUACCACCCUUUAAUGUUUGAUGUUCUAACUCGGCCCCAUAAUCUGGGGUGAGGACAGUGUCUGGUGGGUAGUUUGACUGGGGCGGUCUCCUCCCAAAGAGUAACGGAGGAGCACGAAGGUUAGCUAAUCACGGUCGGACAUCGUGAGGUUAGUGCAAAGGCAUAAGCUAGCUUGACUGCGAGAGUGACGGCUCGAGCAGGUACGAAAGUAGGUCUUAGUGAUCCGGUGGUUCUGAAUGGAAGGGCCAUCGCUCAACGGAUAAAAGGUACUCCGGGGAUAACAGGCUGAUACCGCCCAAGAGUUCAUAUCGACGGCGGUGUUUGGCACCUCGAUGUCGGCUCAUCACAUCCUGGGGCUGAAGUAGGUCCCAAGGGUAUGGCUGUUCGCCAUUUAAAGUGGUACGCGAGCUGGGUUUAGAACGUCGUGAGACAGUUCGGUCCCUAUCUGCCGUGGGCGUUGGAAGAUUGAGAGGGGUUGCUCCUAGUACGAGAGGACCGGAGUGAACGCACCACUGGUGUUCGGGUUGUCAUGCCAAUGGCACUGCCCGGUAGCUAAGUGCGGAAAAGAUAAGCGCUGAAAGCAUCUAAGCGCGAAACUUGCCUCGAGAUGAGUCUUCCCUGGGCCUUUAAGGNCCCUGAAGGAACGUUUAAGACUAAGACGUUGAUAGGCUGGGUGUGUAAGUGCAGCGAUGCAUUGAGCUAACCAGUACUAAUGAUCCGUGAGGCUUAACCUU
rnacentral:rRNA from 1 species